GCCCCUCAAUGGCAAGGUUAAGAGCACCAUUGACCCUAUUCCAGUUGGCUUCAAUGCCUAACCCUUUUGUAUGAGCCUCCUUGUUUGGUUAUAGUGUGUGCUGAAUGAUUUCAUUGAUUGAUUGUUGUUUCAUAUGCACAUGUUUGCUUGUAUGCUCUAUGCAUUUAUCAUCAUUAAUUGCUCAUUACUGCAUGAUCAUCUCAUUUGUCUUUGUGACAUAUCAUUGUUGAUUUCCCCAUUGAGAACAAUUGUAAGACCAUUCCUUUGGCCAUUGUUUCUAUGAUAUGGAAGUGAGUUGUAAGACCAUUUCAUUGACCACUCAUCUUAUCUUUGCUUGAUGCAUUUGUUUGUUGUAUGAGAGGAUACAAUUAUAAGUCCCUGUGAUGUGGCAUUUGUAUUCCCAGGACCAUACUGUGGAAGUUAGAGUAAGCCCAGAUAAAUUGGCAUCUGACAUUCAUGAUUUGCUUCUGUUUGUUUAUGUGAGGAUGCAAUUAUAAGUCCCUGUAAGUUGGCAUUUGCUUUCCUAUGAUCAUAAGUUGCUUUGUUUGAUUGUAUGUGAGGAUACAAUUGUAAGUCCGUGUAAUUUGUUGAUCAUAAGUUGCUUUGUUUGAUUGUAUGUGAGGAUACAAUUGUAAGUCCGUGUAAUUUGGCAUUUGUAUUCCUAUGAUCAUAUGUUGGAGGUUAGAGUAAGCCCAGAUAAAUUGGCAUCUGACAUUCAUGAUUUGCUUCUGUUUGUUUAUGUGAGGAUGCAAUUAUAAGUCCCUGUAAGUUGGCAUUUGCUUUCCUAUGAUCAUAUUUUGCAGUGUUUGAUUGUAUGUGAGGAUGCAAUUGUAAGCCCGUGUAAGUUGGCAUUUGCUUUCCUGUGAUCAUAUGUUGCAUUGUUUGAUUGUAUGUGAGGAUACAAUUGUAAGUCCGUGUAAUUUGGCAUUUGCUUUCCUGUGAUCAUAUGUUGCAUUGUUUGAUUGUAUGUGAGGAUACAAUUGUAAGUCCGUGUAAUUUGGCAUUUGCUUUCCUGUGAUCAUAUGUUGCAUUGUUUGUUUGUAUGUGAGGAUACAAUUAUAAGUCCGUGUAAUUUGGCAUUUGUAUUCCUAUGAUCAUAUGUUGGAGAUUAGAAUAAGCCCAGAUAGAUUGGCAUCUGACAUCCAAAUGUUGUCUUUGUUGUUGGAGAUUGGUAUAAGCCUAGUGAUUGGCAUCCGGUAUCCACUUUUUAUUUCUUUGUUUGAGGAGAUUAGUGUAAGUCCAUAGAGUGGCCUCUGAUAUCCAGUUCUGUUUUAGGAGAUUGGUAUAAGCCCAGUAAUUGGCAAAUCCGGUCAUCGCUUUUCGUUGACUUUCUUCUUUGUUGUUUGUUAUUAUCCAUUGCCCAUUCCACAAGGACACACUUGAAUCAUCUUCUAUAUGAUUUCAGAGAGGUGAACCUUCUAAGAAGUUUUACAAUCCAUCUUCAUCCAUUCAUCCUCAUUAUGUCCUAAACCUUUUCACACUUUGAUUUCAAACUUGACAUAGAUAUUGUGCAAACAUCUUCAUGCUUUUCAAAUUAAAAACCUGGAUCCCAAGUCCUUGACUUUUUUUCAAACUCCAUUUCAUAAUACUUCUUUGAAUUAAUCUUAACCAUACUUUGACCUACUUUCAUGAAUACUCAUAAUCAACUAACUUCACCCAUUCAAUGUUUUUGUGGCUUUGUCCAUUCUUGCUAAGUUUUCAUACAUAAGCUAUAGGUUUGAUUUAUCUUAGUUGGUUGAUGUCAAUCUCACCUAUUUGUCCUUAGUUGAUUGAAUUGUAAGUCUUCCUUGCUUAUUAUUGGGUUAACCCCUCACUAGCAAGUUGAAGCUUUUCUCACAUGGUGGACCUGUUGUUUGUAUAAGGUUGAGUUUUCUCCCGUGGAUAACGUAAGACCUUAGGGCUUGUGUUUAAAAUUGAAUCCACUAACUUUUGGAAGUUUUUAGCCGAACUAC
rnacentral:lncRNA from 1 species